CUUUUUUUAAAGAAAACGAGGGACCAGACCAUUUUGGUGGUAAUCAACAUUAUGCCACAAAUGCUGUCGACUGAUCUUGUCUUGCAUUGAACCAGACAGUGCUCGGUGAAUAAAUGAAAAUUAUAGGUGUUAGGAAAUAAUUUUUUUCAUGUUACAUGCUCCUGUUCAGAGAAGUAGUAUAACUUUUCUGUCAUUGUCUCUAGGUUACAAUCUGUGGCUGCAGACUGCAAUGUUUUUGCACAAUAUGAAUAUUAUUCAUUCGUGUUAUUGUCUGUGAUGGCCGGUGUGUUAAAUCAGUAAUUGUGACAAACUGUAGAUUAGCACGUAGCUGAGUUCUGAUGCCAUGGCAUCUCCCCCAGUCACCUUCUAGCUCAAAGUAGCUGCUGUUAAUUGGGAACAUUUUUGAUUUUUAUAUACAGUGGCUAUGCAAGGGUAUUUUGUAACAUGUAUCCAUAGCUGAAAAUGACUAUAUGCUUACAUUUAUUCAUCAUAGUAAAAUUAGGUAUAGAAGAAAUAAUAAAAGUGUUAAGACAUUGAUAGAUGUAGGAAUUUUCUUUCAUUGUUCUGUGCUUAGACUUCUGUCUUCAAUUCAGCAUCUCCGAAUCAGCUUCAUAUAAGCAGUUUUAUCAUGAAACACAAAUUUUAAACGAUUAUGUGUAUUUGGAAUAUUGCUUUUGGUAUCAAUUGUGACCUGUACAUUUUAGCAUUAUAUUCUCACACUAUUUCUCAUCAAAUUAUCACAAAAUGAAUUUUCAGAAACCCAGAGCAAUGUCUGUCAGUAGGUAGACGGUCUGUGAAUGUUUGUCUUUGUCUUGUUACACAUCCUGUAUUGGGUUUACACUGGCUUAUGUCUUAUUUCUAAACAAUAAAAUAUUCCAGUAAUGCU